rnacentral:rRNA from 1 species
GUGACGCUGCAAUUAUUAGACCAAAUCAAUCGGCUUCGGCUGUUCUUUUGGUGACUCUGAAUAAUUUCACGGAUCGCACGGUCUAGUACCGGCGACAAUCCUAACAAGUAUCUACCCUAUCAACUUCCGAUGGUAGUUUAUGUGACUACCAUGGUUGUAACGGGUAACGGAGAAUUAGGGUUUGACUCCGGAGAGGCAGCCUGAGAAACGGCUACCACUUCCAAGGAAG